AUGUGGACUAUCUCGGCGGUUUACGGCCCACAAGAGGAUUCAGACAAGGUGAUGUUCAUUGAUGAGCUCAAAGGUUUAAAACAGUUUGCUUUGCCUUGCUGGAUGGUGGUAGGCGAUUUCAACUUGAUCAAGAAGGCCGAUGAGAAGAGUAGAGGCAAUAUAAACUUGCAAAUGAUGGGAAGAUUCAGAGGGGCCGUUGAAGACCUGGAGCUAAUUGAAUAUCCCCUGAUUGGUCGCAAAUUUACCUGGUCUAAUGAGAGGGACAAUGUUGACAGGGUGCUCGUGUCGAAGGAUCUUAAGUUCCCGGCGUAUCAGCUCACACCGACAUCUUCAUCCAUCUCUGAUCACUGCCCUAUGUUCCUCAAGCCUAUUCAUCAGAAGCAUUUCAAGGGGUUUCGGUUCGAAGCUUUUCGGCUGAAGAAACCAGAUUUGGUUGACGUAGUUAAGGGUGCUUGGGACAGAGGGGUUUCUUCGACUGAUCCGAUCUGA
rnacentral:rRNA from 1 species